rnacentral:rRNA from 1 species
GAUGAACGCUGGCGGCGUGCCUAAUACAUGCCAGUCGAGCGAACAGAUGAGGAUCUUGCUCCUCUGACGUUAGCGGCGGACGGGGGAGUAACACGUGGAUAACCUACCUAUAAGACUGGGAUAACUUCGGGAAACCGGAGCUAAUACCGGAUAAUAUAUUGAACCGCAUGGUUCAAUAGUGAAAGACGGUUUUGCUGUCACUUAUAGAUGGAUCCGCGCCGCAUUAGCUAGUUGGUAAGGUAACGGCUUACCAAGGCGACGAUGCGUAGCCGACCUGAGAGGGUGAUCGGCCACACUGGAACUGAGACACGGUCCAGACUCCUACGGGAGGCAGCAGUAGGGAAUCUUCCGCAAUGGGCGAAAGCCUGACGGAGCAACGCCGCGUGAGUGAUGAAGGUCUUCGGAUCGUAAAACUCUGUUAUUAGGGAAGAACAAAUGUGUAAGUAACUAUGCACGUCUUGACGGUACCUAAUCAGAAAGCCACGGCUAACUACGUG